rnacentral:misc_RNA from 1 species
AUCGACGAGAACGACUACCAGGUGAAGAUGCGCAACGUGAAGCGUUUCCUGGAGGACGGCGACAAGGUGAAGCUCACCCUGCGCUUCCGGGGCCGUGAAAUGGCGCACCAGGACCUGGGCAUGAAGGUUCUCGACCGGGUUCGCGACGACUUCACCGAGAUGGCGAAGGUCGAGCAGCACCCCAAGCUGGAAGGCCGCCAGAUGGUCAUGGUGAUGGCGCCGCGCUGACGGCGCCCACCGGACCCGUCGGAAAGGACACGGUCUUGGUCGCACCUGUGCCCCUGUGCCUGUCCGCCCGCGCUUCCGCCACGGCUUCGA